AGAACUGCGCUGUGUACUGCCACCUUAGAAAUUGGUAAAACACCAAGUUAAUAAGUGUGAUAGUAAAUGUACCUGCAUACUACACAAAGAGUGAGUUACAUACAUUUGGAUAAGUUUGCAGUGUAAUAGUUUAUGGUUUUGAAGAACUCGGUUAGAGUUCUCAACGAGGAAAAAGAGUGGACGGCUAGUCAGCACGAUCUAGCUACAAAGACUUUGCCAGCGAGUAGCCUGCUCGGUUGCCCUUUUGUGCAUCGUCUGAAGAAGCACUUAUCUCCAGAACCAUCCCCUGCUAAGCUGUUGGAAGACGUCUUAAACCACCUGCAUCGCCAGCACCGCGUUGCCGCGGCGUGGACAACGACGACGACCAGCACUACUGCAGCAAUACGUUCCGUAGCUCCACGCUGAUGUCACCCCCUUCCAGGCGGCUGGUCCGGUUUCGGUACAGCGGGGAAUGAAACUCGGGCUUCUCCUGACCUUUCCUCAAGUAGAGGAGCACCUGCUCGAGCACUUCCACUUUCUUCUCCGGGCCGGUUACGAACAAAGAAGAUGGCUCCUUCUCCCGAGUGUCUUUGGUUUGCACUGAGAUGCAGCUCUCCGCCAGAGAGCCUGGAGGCUUGCAGGAGAACACGACAUUCUUGCCCAAAGGCACCAACAUCACAGGGCUGUCAGACUGACCCAGCUGGGGCUCUGGGGCCACAGAGCCAUCAGACUUGUGUGCAGGUGUCGUGUUAUUCAGAAUAGCCAACCCACCAGCUAAUCAGAAAAUUUCAUCUCACCGGAUCGAAAAUUUAAUCUCUUCCUCAGAAAGAAACUCAGAGACUCACCACAAAAAAGCGUCGUCAUCAGCAGCCGAAUGCCGAUCAC